UACGGAGGAUGCGAGCGUUAUCCGGAUUUAUUGGGUUUAAAGGGUGCGUAAGCGGGAUGCCAAGUCAGCGGUAAAAAUGCGGUGCUCAACGCCGUCGAGCCGUUGAAACUGGCGUUCUUGAGUGGGCGAGAAGUAUGCGGAAUGCGUGGUGUAGCGGUGAAAUGCAUAGAUAUCACGCAGAACUCCGAUUGCGAAGGCAGCGUACCGGCGCCCUACUGACGCUGAAGCACGAAGGCGUGGGUAUCGAACAGG
rnacentral:rRNA from 1 species